rnacentral:tRNA from 1 species
AAUAAAGUGCCUGAAGAAAAAGGAUUACUUUGAUAGAGUAAAUCAUACAAUUAUAUUGUCUUUGUUA